rnacentral:rRNA from 1 species
UACGAAGGGGGCUAGCGUUGUUCGGAUUUACUGGGCGUAAAGCGCACGUAGGCGGAUCUUUAAGUCAGGGGUGAAAUCCUGGAGCUCAACUCCAGAACUGCCUUUGAUACUGAAGAUCUUGAGUUCGGGAGAGGUGAGUGGAACUGCGAGUGUAGAGGUGGAAUUCGUAGAUAUUAGGAAGAACACCAGUGGCGAAGGCGGCUCACUGGUCCGGUACUGACGCUGAGGCACGAAAGCGUGGGGAGCAACAGG